AUGGCACCUCCUUUGUUAGUAACCAAUAUGUGGGAAACACUCGCCCUUACUAUUAAUCAAACCACUUUCUGCCUUACACAACAGGUGGCUGUGGGCCAACUCCUGGGCACUUGCUUAAUACCCGUGUGUCAUGAUGCGUCGGAAGUUGAAAAUAGUACCUGGUUUUAUCGAAAUUUAGAAUCCAAUACGACAAUAAGAAACUUGGGCUAUACGGCUUAUCAUAACUGGGGAGCACAAUCACGCCUCCCCCCACAGGGAGCCAUGAUCUUAGAUACCCCCUAUGUGGCAGACUAUAAUGUCAGCUGUGCUCGCAUGCUUAAUUGCACCGCCCCCACCUGCCGUCCCUUCCCACUUCACCCCUUGAACUGUUCCCAAUAUAUGAACAUCUCCUAUUUGCAGAAACAUGUCCAUCUGCCCCCAGGAUGGCUCUGGACAUGUGCUGGUCUCACCUUUAAUUAUAUCCCGGCCAAUAUCACUGAUGGCACAAUGUGUUGCUUAAGUCGCCUGUCCCUCAUCUUGCCUCAGGUCCAUCAUACCAAAACGCACUCCCGUGUUAAACGGACCUAUUCCCAAUUGGAGCCUGACUGUGAUAGCCAGGUGAAAUUAUUAUCCAAAACCGAAAUGGUCUCUUUAGCUGUCUCCAUAGUUGGAGUCCCGGGGCUGGCUGUGGUCAAUAGCCAGAAUGUUAACCGCUUAGCUUGCGCGGCGGUAAAAGCCUUAAACGCCACGUCCACUGCCCUCUCUUUGCUUAAUGAGGAACAGGCUGAACUGCGCCACGGCGUGCUUCAAAAUAGGGCUGCAAUAGAUUAUUUGUUGUUAUUGCAUCAUUACGGCUGCGAAAAAAUUAAUGAUAUGUGUUGUUUCAAUAUCUCCGACCAUUCUUACGCUAUUGCUAACCAAUUGGACAUCAUCAAAAACCUCACCGCGCAAAUACAAAUUCAUGCUGAUCCGUUUGCCUCCUGGUGGAGUUGGCUUGAAUCCUUACUCCCCGGUUGGGGCUGGCUACAACAGCUCAUCUACGGUGGGCUGUGUCUCCUCAUUCUUCUUCUUACUUGUUGCGGAAUUCAAUGUGUCCCCUCCCUUAUCAAUCUGUGUAUCCAAGGCUGCCCUUGGACCUCCCCCUACCAAAAACAUAAAUUAUAA
rnacentral:lncRNA from 1 species